CCUACGGGGUGCAGCAGUGAGGAAUAUUGGUCAAUGGACGAGAGUCUGAACCAGCCAAGUAGCGUGAAGGAUGACUGCCCUAUGGGUUGUAAACUUCUUUUAUAUGGGAAUAAAAUGUUCCACGUGUGGGAUUUUGUAUGUACCAUAUGAAUAAGGCUCGGCUAACUCCGUGCCAGCAGCCGCGGUAAUACGGAGGAUCCGAGCGUUAUCCGGAUUUAUUGGGUGUAAGGGGAGCGUAGGUGGAUUGUUAAGUCAGUUGUGAAAGUUUGCGGCUCAACCGGAAAAUUGCAGUUGAAACUGGCAGUCUUGAGUACAGUAGAGGUGGGCGGAAUUCGUGGUGUAGCGGUGAAAUGCUUAGAGAUCACGAAGAACUCCGAUUGCGAAGGCAGUUCACUGGACUGCAACUGACACUGAGGCUCGAAAGUGUGGGUAUCAAACAGGAUUAGAUACCCCUGUAGUC
rnacentral:rRNA from 1 species